rnacentral:rRNA from 1 species
CGGAGGGUGGCGGAACCUUUCCAGCCCUUGACAUCCCGGUCGCGGACUCCAGAGAGGGAGUUCUUCAGUUUGGCUGGACCGGAGACAAAGUGCUGCAUGGCUGUCGUCAGCUCGUGUCGUGAGAUGUUGGGUUAAGUCCCGCAACGAGGGCAACCCCCGUCCUUAGUUGCUACCAUUUAGUUGAGCACUCUAAGGAGACUGCCGGUGAUAAGCCGCGAGGAAGGUGGGGAUGACGUCAAGUCCUCAUGGCCCUUACGGGCUGGGCUACACACGUGCUACAAUGGCGGUGACAAUGGGAUGCUAAGGGGCGACCCUUCGCAAAUCUCAAAAAGCCGUCUCAGUUCGGAUUGGGCUCUGCAACUCGAGCCCAUGAAGUUGGAAUCGCUAGUAAUCGUGGAUCAGCACGCCACGGUGAAUACGUUCCCGGGCCUUGUACACACCCCCCGUCACACCAUGGGAGUUGGUUUUACCUGAAGACGGUGCGCUAACCGAAAGGGGGCAGCCGGCCCUAGAGUACCU